UACGAAGGGGGCUAGCGUUGCUCGGAAUCACUGGGCGUAAAGCGCACGUAGGCGGAUUGCUAAGUCAGGGGUGAAAUCCUGGAGCUCAACUCCAGAACUGCCUUUGAUACUGGCGACCUUGAGUCCGGGAGAGGUGAGUGGAACUGCGAGUGUAGAGGUGAAAUUCGUAGAUAUUCGCAAGAACACCAGUGGCGAAGGCGGCUCUCUGGUACGUGACUGACGCUGAGACGCGAAAGCGUGGGGAGCGAACAGG
rnacentral:rRNA from 1 species